rnacentral:rRNA from 1 species
UACGUAGGGGGCGAGCGUUGUCCGGAUUUAUUGGGCGUAAAAGGCUUUUAGGUGGCCACGCCAAGUCGGAUGUGAAAUCUCCCGGCUCAACUGGGAGGGGUCAUUCGAUACUGGCGGGCUCGAGGCCGGUAGGGGGUAGCGGAAUUCCCGGUGUAGUGGUGGAAUGCGUAGAUAUCGGGAGGAACACCAGUGGCGAAGGCGGCUACCUGGACCGGUUCUGACACUGAGGAGCGAAAGCGUGGGGAGCAAACAGG